rnacentral:rRNA from 1 species
CGAAGGGAGCUAGCGUCGUUCGGAAUUACUGGGCGUAAAGGGCGCGUAGGCGGCCGUUUAAGUUAGAUGUGAAAGCCCCGGGCUUAACCUGGGAAUUGCAUCUAAUACUGAAUGGCUUGAGAUCGAGAGAGGAAAGUGGAAUUGUGAGUGUAGAGGUGAAAUUCGUAGAUAUUCACAAGAACACCAGUGGCGAAGGCGGCUUUCUGGCUCGAUACUGACGCUAAGGCGCGAAAGCGCGGGGAGCAAACAGGAUUAGAUACCCUGGUAGUCCACGCUGUAAACGAUGAGUGCUAGAUGUUAGGGGGGCAACCCUUUAGUGUCGAAGUUAACGCAAUAAGCACUCCGCCUGGGGAGUACGGUCGCAAGAUUA